UUUAUACAUUAAGUGUUGCUGACUUGAUCUGACCAAUGAGGGACUGGCUAGAAUACUGAGGGAGGAGCCACCUUUCAAAUACAGAAUCCAAGAUGGCUGCCGGAGAGAGCGGAUAAGUCAACUGAACGACUCUGUUGGCCUAAUCUACUGACACUAUUCCUAGGUUGGGUUGAGGUAUGUCAACCACACCCAACUUCACAGCAGAGGUUGUGACAUUUAGGAGAGGCCAGAAAAUAAUCAUCAGAUCCAACCACCAGAUACAGAGCAGGAGGAGCUGUGCUGAUAUUGAAGAUGACCAGUGUAAGAUUCCUCGUUCCUGUGCUGCAGUAAACUGCAGGAAAUGGAACUGAAAAGGAGUUUGGAGGCGGACAGAGGGAACACUGGAACUCCACACAUUCAUUCCUUCUCUUUUUCUAGACUCGUUUCUAAACAGGAAGCUUUUUGUUACUUAAUAUUAUUUAUCAGAUCAGAUGUAAGACUGUAGAACUGUUAGAGAUGAUGAGGAGACCUGCUUCAGGGUUUCCAGUUAAUCAAUGCAGACAGACCAGUUGGAGAACAGAAACAGAAAUGUAGACGCUGCUGAAAAAGGAAUGGACUGAAGAAUUCCCUUAGAGAUAAAGAUAAAGAAAUAUUAAAGCAAAU
rnacentral:lncRNA from 1 species